rnacentral:lncRNA from 1 species
GGUCUGCAAAUUCAAUGAAUCCAUAAUGCUUUGAUUUUCCAGUCUGUAAACAACCCAGAUUGAGUGAUACCAAAACAAAAACCACCAUAUCACAUUAUUGGCUUCACAAAAUAUAAAAACCAUAGUGAUUUUAGCAAAUAAGUUAUGAAAAUCUACAAUGAUGUCAGGAUUGAAACCUAGUAUGUCAAAUAUUAGCAUGUAAAGAAUAAACAGCAAAAAAUGAGAUUUUCAGCAAGUCUAUAAGAGGUUCUCGCAUGGGAAAAAUAAGGCAAAGAACUGAUUCAUGUGAAAUUAAUUUAUUAGUUUAUUCAGAUUUCAGUCUUUUACUCAUUUGUUUUUCCUGAUUCAAGCAGUAGUUAGUAUUGGUUGUACAAGAAACAGGACUUGUUUAGGGCAUAAACUCCUAACUAAUAAAAGAAAAACGGUUGCUUAUAAUGAGGAAUCAGAUUGUAUUUAAGCACCUUGUUCUAAAAUAAAUAAUUCUAGUUUUAUUGAAGGUUGAUUCCUAAAAUUCUCAGAGAUCAGAAGGUUCCAGAAUGAGCCUUCAUUUCACACUCACAACAGGUAACAAAGGGAAAGGCAUAAAACUAAAA